UCUACCCUACGGGGGGCAGCAGUAGGGAAUCUUCCACAAUGGACGAAAGUCUGAUGGAGCAACGCCGCGUGAGUGAAGAAGGGUUUCGGCUCGUAAAGCUCUGUUGGUAGUGAAGAAAGAUAGAGGUAGUAACUGGCCUUUAUUUGACGGUAAUUACUUAGAAAGUCACGGCUAACUACGUGCCAGCAGCCGCGGUAAUACGUAGGUGGCAAGCGUUAUCCGGAUUUAUUGGGCGUAAAGAGAACGCAGGCGGUCUUUU
rnacentral:rRNA from 1 species